CAUUGUCGAUUGCGGCGUACAAAGUGACGGCCUCGUUUAAGCAGGUAAACGAAUUCGGCGUGAUUGGGGCCGUAAUUCGCUUUAGGUCGUCUCUACAAGAGAAGGGAAUCCAUCCUUCACGGCGUUAAUUUCCGCGCAGAUUGAGUGGGGAGCGCGUUUGCGCGUCGCCGACGAUGCCUUUUAAGGGCCUCUUGUCAACGGGACGAACGCCGCCACGCUCUCCGCGUUAUCCAUUUAAACGAUCGGCAUAAAAUAUAUUUUACAAAUUAAGUUUCCAAAUGUCCUAUCAUUAUACUCAAGCCAUUGGCUCGCCUUGAAUCCGACUGGAAAGACAAAAGCUCUCUCGAACCGGCACGAGCGUCAAGAGGUCCCGUAACUCGUUACUUUUCCGUGCUCGUAUUUCCAACGGUGGCAUUUUCUCUCUCGUUUCAUGGUAGCAGCACAACAACAUUUCCCAAUACAUCCUUCAUCGCAGGGUCGUAAGAGAUGGCUUGGGGAGACCUUCACCCAGCAGUGGAUUUGCCAUGCCUGAUGGUGAUGAUGAUCAGCGGUGGAGGCUCGGGGAGGCGUUUAUCCAGCAGUGGAUUGACCAUGACUAAUGACGAUGUGUCGAGGCAAGCGUUUGCAGUGUUACACGCGCGUGAGCAACUCGCCGCACUGCACAGCUUCGGAAAGAGUAUCUUGAAAACGAGUUGAAGGAAGAUGCAAGUGACAUUCAUGUUCUUGUUGCACAGCGCACCACACAGGUUGUGUCUCGCCUGAGCCGCCCCGCGUCAGCCCGAGGCUCCGUGGCCGCUGAGCCACUUGGAGGCGGCUCUCGGCUCGUGCUGCGCUGACGCCACCUUCACGACUGCCCCGCUCGCUAAUCGAGCGUCACUGCAGCGCUCCGAACCGCGACUUUACACGCUGCUUUUUGAACGCGUUCCAACUAAAGGGAAGGCAACCAACGAAGACCCGGCCACAGGGGAUGGAUGUUCUCGAGGCUCGACCGCUCGUCCCAGCCGUCUCAUUUGUGGUGACCUUGAUCAAAGUACGUGGAGAGGGGCCCCCGCUACUACGAAUACCGACUGGUCUCCGGUGUUCACCUCUCCUUGGCAGACGGCAGAUGAGCCUGCCGCUCACAGGGGGUGGCUACUUCCUCCGAGCUCUGAGGCUCCGCAGCAGUGGGGGGGGGGGGGGGGGGGGGGGGCAGCCACGCCGUGACUCGCGACGUUGCUGGACCGAGGAGCUCCCCAACCCCUCGCCCGACGGGCACGCGAUAAAUUCAUGCGACUCGGCAGGCGGGGACGUUCCGCUCGAACGCAAACAUUUGAUCCCUGCGCCCGACUGUGUGCGUGGUUGUUUGUUUGUUGUGCUCCCUCCCGAUGAAGGCGCGCAUCUUCUUAUCAUUGGAAGCGCAUUUGCAUGCAACGAGAAUAAUUUGUGGCGCGGGACUGUUGCUCCGCCGGCUUACAAAUUCUUCCUUGCAGAAUUUAAUUGGCCGCUUCUGAGUUUCCGACCUGCGCCGCAAAAAAAAAAGCCCGGUGCCAGUAGAAAGAAGAAAUAAACGGCCGCAUAAUUAACUGUCAAGCAUCAUGAAGACCCAGAAAGACGCACGGGGACUUUCAUUUCAUUAUUUUUUUCUCUUCUCUCCCCACAAUCCGAGUUUAACGAUGCCGUUUUUACGCAGCAGCGAUGGGAAUAUAAAAAAAACGUCCGCUCCUGCACGUGCACACCGAGCGCUAGGGACCAACCGCCCCCCCCCCCCACCGACUCAUUCUCAAGCCCCCCCCCCAAAUACUCUCUACUCACCAACCCUAAAGGUUUCAGCCCCCCCCACCCCACCUCCGUCUCCACUCACUAUCCCCCUGUGGCCUCCCGCCAUCGGGGGAAUGGGCUUUUCAGGAGCAGACGUGCGAUAAAACCAAUUUUAAAUGUGUUGAUUAAUCGGCGGGCGGAAUUAUGCGACGUAUCCGUGGCGAGCCGUUUUAUGAAGUCGUUAGUGAGGGUGCGAGAGCGCAGCGUUUGGCCAGGGCCAACCAGAUGCCAUGGUGGCUAUGAGAUGUUAACUCCCUCCCCUGGUAUGCAGGAGGUCGUGGGUUCGAUACCGACCAUGACGCCUGCUGUAUAUUUGGAGUUUACGUGUCUCUCUCCCCGU